rnacentral:rRNA from 1 species
UUGUUGGUAAGGUAAAAGCUUACCAAGGCUUCGAUCAGUAGCUGGUCUGAGAGGACGACCAGCCACACUGGGACUGAGACACGGCCCAGACUCCUACGGGAGGCAGCAGUGGGGAAUUUUGGACAAUGGGGGCAACCCUGAUCCAGCCAUGCCGCGUGAGUGAAGAAGGCCUUCGGGUUGUAAAGCUCUUUCAGCCGGAACGAAACGGUUACGGAUAACACCCGUGACUACUGACGGUACCGGAAGAAGAAGCACCGGCUAACUACGUGCCGGCAGCCGCGGUAAUACGUAGGGUGCGAGCGUUAAUCGGAAUUACUGGGCGUAAAGCGUGCGCAGGUGGUUUUGUAAGUCAGAUGUGAAAGCCCCGGGCUCAACCUGGGAACUGCGUUUGAAACUACAAGACUAGAGUGUGGCAGAGGGGGGUGGAAUUCCGCGUGUAGCAGUGAAAUGCGUAGAGAUGUGGAGGAACACCGAUGGCGAAGGCAGCCCCCUGGGUCAACACUGACGCUCAGGCACGAAAGCAUGGGGAGCAAACAGGAUUAGAUACCCUGGUAGUCCAUGCCCUAAACGAUGUCAACUAGUUGUCGGGCCUUUACGGGCUUGGUAACGUAGCUAACGCGUGAAGUUGACCGCCUGGGGAGUACGAUCGCAAGAUUAAAACUCAAAUGAAUUGACGGGGACCCGCACAAGCGGUGGAUUAUGUGGAUUAAUUCGAUGCAACGCGAAAAACCUUACCUACCCUUGACAUGUAUCGAAGCCCGCAGAAAAGCGGGGGUGCCCGAAAGGGAACGAUAACACAGGUGCUGCAUGGCUGUCGUCAGCUCGUGUCGUGAGAUGUUGGGUUAAGUCCCGCAACGAGCGCAACCCUUGUCAUUAAUUGCCAUCAUUUAGUUGGGCACUUUAAUGAGACUGCCGG